rnacentral:rRNA from 1 species
GGUUCUAGUAAAGCAUUAUACCGUGAAACUGCGAAUGGCUCAUUAAAUCAGUUAUCGUUUAUUUGAUAGUACCUUAUUACUUGGAUAACCCUGGUAAUUCUAGAGCUAAUACAUGCUGAAAACCCCAACUUCGGAAGGGGUGUAUUUAUUAGAUAAAAAACCAAUGCCCUCCGGGGCUCUUUGGUGAUUCACAAUAACUUCUCGGAUCGCAUGGCCUUGCGCCGGCGACGGUUCAUUCAAAUUUCUGCCCUAUCAACUUUCGAUGGUAAGGUAGUGGCUUACCAUGGUUUCAACGGGUAACGGGGAAUUAGGGUUCGAUUCCGGAGAGGGAGCCUGAGAAACGUAAGUGACCUCCUAUCAUUCUGGCCGCUGAGCAAUAUACUAACAAUUCUAUAGGGCUACCACAUCCAAGGAAGGCAGCAGGCGCGCAAAUUACACAAUCACAAUACGUGGAUGUAGUGACAAUACAUACUGAUACAGGGCUCUUUUGGGUCUUGUAAUUGGAAUGAGUACAAUUUAAACCUCUUAACGAGGAACAAUUGGAGGGCAAGUCUGGUGCCAGCAGCCGCGGUAAUUCCAGCUCCAAUAGCGUAUAUUAAAGUUGUUGCAGUUAAAAAGCUCGUAGUUGAACCUUGGGUCUGGCUGGUAGGUCCGCCUCACCGCGUGCACUUAACCGGCUGGGCCUUUUCUUCUGGAGAACCUCAUGCCCUUCACUGGGUGUGCUGGGGAACCAGGACUUUUACUUUGAAAAAAUUAGAGUGUUCAAAACAGGCCUUUGCUCGAAUACGUUAGCAUGGAAUAAUAAAAUAGGACGUGCGGUCUUAUUUUGUUGGUUUCUAAGACCGCCGUAAUGAUUAAUAGGGACAGUUAGGGGCAUCAGUAUUCAAUUGUCAGAGGUGAAAUUCUUGGAUUUAUUGAAGACUAACUACUGCGAAAGCAUUUGCCAGAGAUGUUUUCAUUAAUCAGUGAACGAAAGUUAAGGGAUCGAAAACGAUCAGAUACCGUUGUAGUCUUAACCGUAAACUAUGCCGACUAGGGAUCGGGCAGCGUUUCUAUCUUGACCUGCCCGGCACCUUACGAGAAAUCAAAGUUUUGGGUCUGGGGAAAAUCCAAAAA